UACGUAGGGGGCAAGCGUUGUCCGGAUUUAUUGGGCGUAAAGAGCGUGUAGGCGGUUUGGUAGGUCCGCUGUGAAAACUCGAGGCUCAACCUCGAGACGCCGGUGGAAACCAUCAGACUAGAGUCCGGAAGAGGAGAGUGGAAUUCCUGGUGUAGCGGUGAAAUGCGCAGAUAUCAGGAAGAACACCCGUGGCUAAGGCGGCUUUCUGGUCUGUAACUGACGCUGAGGCGCGAAAGCGUGGGGAGCAAACAGG
rnacentral:rRNA from 1 species